UACGAAGGGUGCAAGCGUUAAUCGGAAUUACUGGGCGUAAAGGGUGCGUAGGCGGUUCGUUAAGUCUGUUGUGAAAUCCCCGGGCUCAACCUGGGAAUGGCAAUGGAUACUGGCGGGCUAGAGUGUGUCAGAGGAUGGUGGAAUUCCCGGUGUAGCGGUGAAAUGCGUAGAGAUCGGGAGGAACAUCAGUGGCGAAGGCGGCCAUCUGGGACAACACUGACGCUGAAGCACGAAAGCUAGGGUAGCGAACGGG
rnacentral:rRNA from 1 species